rnacentral:rRNA from 1 species
AUUGAACGCUGGCGGCAGGCUUAACACAUGCAAGUCGAGCGGAGAUGAGGUGCUUGCACCUUAUCUUAGCGGCGGACGGGUGAGUAAUGCUUAGGAAUCUGCGUAUUAGUGGGGGACAACAUUCCGAAAGGAAUGCUAAUACCGCAUACGUCCUACGGGAGAAAGCAGGGGAUCUUCGGACCUUGCGCUAAUAGAUGAGCCUAAGUCGGAUUAGCUAGUUGGUGGGGUAAAGGCCUACCAAGGCGACGAUCUGUAGCGGGUCUGAGAGGAUGAUCCGCGAAACUGGGACUGGGACACGGCCAAGACUCCUACGGGAGGCAGCAGUGGGGAAUAUUGGACAAUGGGGGAAACCCUGAUCCAGCCAUGCCACGUGUGUGAAGAAGGCCUUAUGGUUGUAAAGCACUUUAAGCGAGGAGGAGGCUACUGAGACUAAUACUCUUGGAUAGUGGACGUUACUCGCAGAAUAAGCACCGGCUAACUCUGUGCCAGCCGCCGCAGUAA